UCUUAGGGCAAUGGAUCUUAUUAUUUCUGAGGGAAGAGGGUCUAAAUAUGCAUGGCUGAGGGAUAGACUGAUCCUUAUUGUAACUUUUGUGGUUCUUGAAACAUGUCACUCUUUGAGAUCAUGUAAUAGGUCCACUCUUGAGUCUUGAUUGGAAUAUUGGAGUAAGUUUAGUGUCAGCUUAUGAUUCUAAGAUGCAUGGAGGCCUCUGCUGAUUAAGGAUGUCACUUUGAGCCUUUGAGGAUAUGGCUUCUGAGAAUUUGUUAGCAAGGUUGUUUAAUUGUGUGGUUGCUUUUAUCAUAGAUCUUUGUGGGCAGGUAAGGGCUAUUUUAUUGGAAAGCUACUAUGAAACAUAUAUGGCUAGAAAAGAUGUUAGUGAUUUGAGGUCUGAAAAUGCAUUUGACCAUGGAACAGAAAAUUUAUAUUUGGCGGCUUUGAAAUAAGAACUGUCUGCAUUAUUCAAAUUAAGACAUGUAAAGAAAGGUGUCUUCAGGAAUAUGUGCUCUUAUUCUGAAUUUAUGGUGAAUUGGAACCUUAUGUUUGUGGAAUAUCUUGAUAAGUGAGAAUUAGAUGGUUAGGAACAUCAUCUAAAACACAAAGCAGGUGAAGCAUAUUGUUGGAUGUAAUGGUGCAAAGUGCAGGGUGAGAGCUGCUGUGAUCUGGUUUUAGUGGAUUUAUUUCCUGAAGUUUUGUCAAAUGACACUGAGAAUUUUAAAUCUAAGUCCAUUAUUUUCUGUCCCUCUAUGAGUGGCACAUUUGUAAUAAGGCCUUGCAUAUAAUAAUCAGUGUAGCUGGAUUAAGUCUGAUUGAUUAGCAGGACUUUGGGGGUUUGUGAGUUUUGGCAUUGUGAUCCACUUCUCAGUACAAUUGCAUGAAAUCUGGUCUCUUACAGGCAGUGUAUAAAAAAAAGUAGGUAACUGGGGUGACCACCACCUUAGCUGUUCUUUGUAGAAAGGAAAAGAAAAGGAAGGUAUAAAGCUACCUUAUGCGAUGCUGAAAGAAUUUUACUGAAACAUUUUUCUUGAGUUCAUGGGUCUCUUGUUGUAUUUUGCUUGGCCCUUGGCAGUGUUGGGUUCAUUGAAAGUUUCCACUAUUUCUGCUAUUCUUUGUGUCUAAUGGGCAUUUGCCAUAAUUUUCUUUCCUUAUGAGGAGGAAAUGAGACUGCAUGGUUUUAUGGGAUGUGGCUUAGAAUUCUGAAGGACACAUUAUUCUCUUUAAUAGCUUAGUUUUCCAGUGCCUUUGUAUUGUGAGAGCAUAUUUCAUUAUUAUUAUUAUUACUUUGUUCAGUUCAUAUAAGGGUGAUCCAGUGCUUGAGGCAUCCCACACUUGUGGGCUAUUGGGAGGGUUGAUGUACACAGCCUAACCCUGCUUUGCAGAGAGGGUGUAAAUUUUUAUUCUUCUGACUACUGGUGCAUUGAUUGGCUAACUUCUCAACUACUGAUCCUGUCAAUUUUCAGAUACCCAAAAAUUUUUCUUCCAUUUUCAAAUGGUUUCUACUAGUUUUAUACUAGCUGAGUUCUUAUCUGAUUCUUUAAUGACUCUAGUUAUACUUUUUUUCCCCUAUCCAUGGGCAAUGGCCAAUAGUCUUACCGAUUGAUUUUCUUUCCACAGUUAUUGUAUUUUGAUCAGGAAGGAAAUGGUGGACUGAGCCUUGCUCUGCAGGUACAAAGCACUCUCUUGUUGGUUUUAGAUGUUACUUUUUGUAGUCGAAAUCACAAUUCAUGUAUUUUGACUUAUUCCAGUACUAGAUGUAUCUUAAAAAAUGUCAGGGGUCUUUAGUUAUCUCUAUAUCUCUUCAUGUUUUUAAAGAAUGGCAUUGGUCUUCAUUUCUUCAAGAUAUUAUUUGUAGGAACCUUUUGCCUGCAUUUGGUCUUUUGCAUGCUUUAUCUGAUGGUUUUGCUCCUUAACUUGGAGAUAUGUUUUGUUCUUUCUGUCUCUUUCUACUAGUCUCCAUAUUGAGCAGGAAUUGCUGUUCCUGCAUUUUUUUUUUCUUAGGAAAUAAACUUUCAUUACUCAAGCAAAUCAGAGUUAACAGCAAUACAAAAAGCAGAUGGUUGGGCAGAACCCCAAUCCGUUAGGCCAGACACAGAACUUGCGCACGUAGCAAGCAAAUGCGUGACUGAAUUUGCUGACCUGCGAACAAAAACAAUAGAAACCUGCUCAAAGUUUCUCAAGAAAAGCCUACAAUCAUCAACAAGGGAGCCAAAGUAAGAAGCAUCCGAUUGCCUAGCAUGCAAAGCCUGGAUGAGAAGCGAGGAAUCAGAUUCAUGCACAGCCCUCUGAAAGCCCUUCUCCACUACCCAGCUCAAACCUGCCCUUAGAGCCAUUGCCUCUGCUACCAUGGGAGCCCACAAGCUAUCGAAUGUUAGUUGACAGCAUGAAAAAGAGCCCCUUCAUCAUUUUGGAUAACCCAACCUGCACCCAAUGUCCUGCAUAUUUGUUUACUUCUCUUCUAUGCAAAAAAUGUGAAGCCCCAGCAUAGCUAUACACUGACAAAAAAUUGCAUGGCAUUUCUUUUUCUUGGUUCCUCAGUUAGAAUUUGCAUGUGGCUUUUUUCAAGGUCAAAAUUUUCCACUUCUAUUUGGCAAACUGGAAAAGUUCUUUUAUGUUUUUGGAAUAAGUGUCACAAUUGGAGCCCACAUGGGCUACUACCUUACAAUUGGGAUGGCCUAACUAUAAGGGGUGUAAUCAAGCUUAGUUGAGUCAAUAUAGUGCCAAGCUCAGCUUGAUUAUAAAACUCAAAGCUUAGACUCAACUCAGUCGAGAUUUAUUUUUUAGAGCUCGAACUUGGAUUGAUGAAAUACUCAAAAUACUUGAGCUUGACUUAAUGACUGUAACUAAAAGUUUAAAAUCUCAAAUUCAAGCUCAAAUAAGCUCAAUUGAGCUUAAACUAGAUAUUAAUAUAUAUGUUUUUAAUUAUAUAUCAAUAUAUAGGAGUAAAAGUGUAAUUUUAGAUAAGUUUGUUAGGCUCACAAGCCACUCAAGUCUAGUACUAUGGUACUCUACACGCGAAGCUACUCGAGCUUGAGCUUGACUCGGUUUAAAUCAAGUCAAUUUCGGGCUGCUCAUGAGUAGCUCAACUUAUUUACACCCCUAUUGACUAUGGCCCAAAAGUCAACUCCUGGUUGGUAGUAGUAGCUUACAAAGGCUCAUGUACAUGGAUGAUCUCAAUGGUCCCUUUAUCUUGUGGGAUUUGUGGCAUCACAAUAAGAACAAUUACAACAUUAAAAAUUUUUCAUUAAAACGAUGACAUGUCCUGAGAUGACUCUAGACUUGUGUCCUAGGUGUCAUAGCACAUUUAGAUUAAUUAUGUUGACCUUUUCUUUAUAAUUUUUGGUUUUAGGAGGACAGUGCCAAAACAGGAAAGUUUACAUCUGCUGGAAUGUAUUUCCUUUGUUUUCCUGUUUAUCGGUUGGAUCAGACAGUCAACGCGGUGAGCUGAGCUGGUGAUAUUGUAAAUUAUCUUUUCAUGUUAUGAUUCUAAGUUGCUUAUUCUUUUCCAUUUGGAUUUGGAAUUGUUGUGGCUUCAGAUUGCAGCCGCAAAGGAUGCUGAUACUGCCUUCUUCAAGAAAUUGGAUGGGUUUCAGCCAUGUGAAAUAAUGGAACUGAAGGCUGGCACCCAUGUUUUUGCUGUCUAUGGUGACAAUUUUUUUAAGAGUGCAAGUUACUCAAUAGAAGCUCUCUGUGCUGCACCUUUUGUGGAAGAAAAAGAAAAUCUUAGAGAUGUUGAAGCUCGAAUUCUUACAAAAAGGGUAGAGAUAUCCAAGUUUGAAAAUGAAUACAGAGAGGUGUUGGCACAAUUUACAGAAAUGACCAGUAGAUAUACGCAAGAAAUGCAAGAGAUUGACGAGCUGCUUAAACAAUGGAAUGAAAUUCAUGCCUCGUACACAAUUGCUCCCCAGAUGAAGCGGAGUACAAGUAAGAGCAGGAGUAAGGGCCUCUUCAGGGAGACCAAAGAAGAAGGACAAUUGAGAGAUAAGAAAGCUUCAAUGAAGGAUAGAACUAAGAAAAAGAAAUGGUUCAAUAUCCACUUAAAAGUUGACAAGAGAAAGCCUUGCUAAAUAUGAUGGAUGUGGGAAGCCGUUCCAUACAGAUGGGAUAGAGAUAGAGUGCGUCAUCUAUGUCUGCAUUGAUUAAUUUGUUCUGAUGGUUUGAUGCUCUGCAAACAAAUUAUGAGGUCAAGCUAUUCCUUGACCAUGUUUCAACUUUCAAUUGACGACAAAGUACAAAUCGUUGUUGCCGUGGAAAUGCUCCAUUUCUCCAGCAUGUUAAAGGAUGACAACAGUUCAUUGCUAUUGUAAAAUUCCAUUUUUUUUCAUCACUUUAUCAGUCACUGUCUUGUUUCUUUUUGCUCAGAUUGUAAGCAAGCAUAUCUGUAAAUUGCAUAACUUGUUCUUGAAGAUCCUUUCAUCAGCUAAUGGGAAAAGUAAAGCGUGGCCACUUUUUGCAUGUUGACAAGUUUUGUGUUGUUGGAGCGCUGGACAAUGAUCUGUUUGAUAGUUAGGGCAUUCACUUCACAUUUGUAGCAAUAGCAUUAUUAAUGCAGCCACAAGAAGUGACAAUUUUCUUUCUUUUCCUUGUUCUGGUUUUGUUACUCAACAGCAUUGAUGUGUGAUUUGCCAUUUUCACAAAGCCAGUUUUUUACCCUCG
rnacentral:misc_RNA from 1 species